rnacentral:rRNA from 1 species
UAAGCGAAGCGAUAUGUGGAGCGGUGAAAGGCUCAGUAACGGGCGAUUUAUUUGAUCUCCUGGGACGGACAACAUCGGGAAACUGAUGGGAAAACGUCUAAGUUGCAGUUUUUUGAUUGUGACGUAAACCUUUGUGUGCAGGAGAGUAAGAUGCCAUCCUAUCAGUUAGUAAGUAGGGUAAGGGCCUACUUAGACGAAGACGGGUACGGGGAAUGAGGGUUUGAUUCCGGAGAGGGAGCCUGAGAGAUGGCUACCAGGACCAAGGUCAGCAGCAGGCGCGAAAAUUAUCGAAGCCCGCCUAGGGGCGAUAGUGAGGAGACGUGUAUACGAAGUACGUGUAAAGACCGUACUAAUAACUGGAGGUCAAGUCUGGUGCCAGCAGCCG